UGCCAAGCUUCCAGCAAGGUUGGCAGACAAGGGCCUCCAGCAGGCAGAGUGACAAGGAGGUAAUCAGCACCACUUGCCACUUUCCAUUGAGGCAGACAUGGGAGCCAAAAUGGAAGCAAUGCUUGGAUGAUAAAUUGGCUUUUUGCUCUUCCUUUGAACUUCAAGAUCUGUCCCCUUGGGGUCCUCCCCCACCCCAUGGACUGAUUGACAAGCUCAAUGGGCAAGGAGAGGAUUCUGGAUCCAAGAAGCUGAGCUGUGUUAGGGGAUUCUUUGAAGCUAAUUGAAUUUGAACGUCAGCUGCCACUGAGAGAACAGGGCAAGAAAAGACCUACCUUUAACAAGGGAACUUUCAGGAGUGGAGAGGAAAACCAAAGGGUAACAAGAACCUCUUACAUUUCAAUCCAACCUUUUGGAGCCCCAGCAAAGAGGAGCCAAUUAAACACCAGGUUUUAAUUCUUUCUUAUUGCUUUUCUGUAAUCAAGAAAUUCAAAACUAGACAGCUAUAAAAUUUUAAGUGGCAAAAUUUGGAUAUGUAGUUUUACAUGCUCAUAUUUUACUUGUAGCCAAUGCCAUUUUUCGAAGUCACCGUAAAUGGCUCUCUCACAUUCCAGAUUAAGGAUAUGCCAUCCUUCUUUCAACAUUUCUCUCUCUGGUCAUUUCCGUUGCUUCCAAAGUCUUCUUAUAAGUGGUCCCAUCUCACUUCUGUGGCAGUGUAGAGCUCUGUUUAUUCAUCCUUGCCAGCAUCAAAUACUAUUUUACAAAUCUGUUGCCUACUCGAUAGGCAAAUUGGCUUCCCUUUCAUUCACCUACCUUUGAUCCCUAAUCAGGAUAAAUGUUGCUUUGCAUGUUUAUUUGUAUUUCAACUUCUGAAAAUCACAUUUAUGCACUUUGCACACUUUUAUUCAUGGCAAACAGAAUAUUUAUAAAUAUACUUUAUAUAUUUAUAUAUGAAGGUCAUUAUGAUGUCCUGUAUUAGAUUUGUUGCUAGUGUUCUCUGUUUUUAAAACUUUAGUUUUAAAGAUAAAACUCGGUACUUUUUGAUAUUAUUUUUUAAGAAGUCGUUUCUUUUUUGGACAGUAAUGCGUUUGCAUGGUUCAAGAUCUGACAAUACUAAAGGGUGUUCAGGGAAGUGUCUCCUCUCCAGACUUGCCCUCUUGUCACCUCCUGAAAUCACUCAUUUUUACCAAUAUCUAGAUGUUUUUCUACAUACUAUGUGUUUAUAAAUUUCUAUAUUCCUUUUUAUACAAACGAUAAAAUAGUAUUUAAACUCUCCCAAAACCUUUCUUCCCCCUAGUUUUUGGAGUUUAUUUUCCAUCAGUCCAUAAAGAGCUUCCUUGUUCUUUUUUAUGGCAACAUAAUAUUCCAUUGAAUGAUUUAAGGUAGUUUAAAAAUUUUUCAUACAGUUUUUAAAGGUUACACUUCACUUACAGUUACUGCAAAAUAUUGGCUAUAUUCUUCAUGUUGUACAGUACAUCCUUGAGUCUGUCUUACACCCAUUUGUUUUGUUUUGUUUUGUUUCAUUUUUGGCUGCCCCUAGGCAUAUGGAGUUCCCAGGCCAGGGAUCAGGUCUGAACCACAGUUGCAACCUAAGCUGUAGCUAUGGCAAUGCUGGAUCCCUAACCCACUGUGCCGGGCCAGGAACUGAACCUGUGUCCCAAGAUACCACUGAUCCCAUUGUGCCACAGUGGGAAACUCCUCCAUUAAUUUUUUUAAUGAUUAAAAUUUCAGCCCCAUCCUGCAGUUAUUUAAAUACUCAUCCAUGUUUUCUUCCUAUGUGAUUUUUAAAUUAGACUUUUUGACAUAAAUGUAGAUUCAUGUGCAUUUGUAGGAGUUAAUACAGAGAGAUCCCUUAUACCCUUUACCCAGUUUUUCUCAAUGGUAGCCUCUGGCAACACUUCUGUUAAAAAGAUACCACAACUAGGAUAUUGACUUGGAUAAUUAAGACAACAUUUCUACUGUCUCAAAGAUCCCUCAUGUUCUUCUACUAUAGCCUCAAGUUAUUUCCAUCCCUGUACUUAACCCUUUACAACCACUAAAUUGUUCUCCAUUCCUAUAGUGUUAUCAUUUUAGGAGUGUUACAUCAAUAAAAUCAUACUAUAUUUGACCUUUUGGGAUCAACAUUUUUUCACUCAGCAUAAUUCUCUGGAGAUUCAUCUAGGUUGGCGUGUGUUCUAAUAGUAGAUUUCCUUUUUUUCCUGAAUAUAUAUUUUUUUGUAUGGAUGGACCACAGUUUCGUUAACUGUUCACCUAUCAAAGGACAUCUCAAUUUCCAGUUUUUGGCUAUUAUGAAUGAAGCGCCUACAAACAUUUAUUUACAGAUUUUUGUAUAAACAUAGGUUUUCACUUUACUGAGAAAAAUGCUCAAGAGUACAACUGCUAUGUUGUAUUGUAGUUGCAUGUUUAUUUUUUUAGUAAACUGUCAAAAUUUUUCCAGAGUAGCUGUAUCGUUUUACAUCCCAACCAACAAUGCAUAAUGAUCCAUUUUCCUCCAUCCUCACAAGUAUUUGGUAUUAUCACUGUUUUUUAAUUUACAAAUUUGGAUAGGUAUGUACCGAUAUCUCAUUAUGGUCUUAAUUUGCAUUUCUCUGAAGGCUAAUGAUAUUAAACCUCUUUCAUGUGCUUAUUUGUCUUGUGUGUGUUCUCUUAAUCUUUUGCCCAUUUUCUAGUUGGGUUGGUUUUUUUAUUAUUGAGUUUUAAGAGUUCUUUAUAGGAAUUCCCACUGUGGUGCUGUGGGUUGGGUCACUGUGGAGGCAUGAGUUCGAUCCCAGCCUGCACAGUAGGUUAAAGGAUCUGGCAUUGCUGCAGCUGCAGCAUAGGUCUCAGCUGUGACUGGGAUUCAUUCCCUGGCCUGGGAACUUCCAU
rnacentral:lncRNA from 1 species